CAGUAGCCGCGGUAAGACAGAGGAUGCAAGCGUUAUCCGGAAUGAUUGGGCGUAAAGUGUCUGUAGGUGGCUUUUCAAGUCCGCCGUCAAAUCCCAGGGCUCAACCCUGGACAGGUGGUGGAAACUACCAAGCUGGAGUAUGGUAGGGGCAGAGGGAAUUUCCGGUGGAGCGGUGAAAUGCAUUGAGAUCGGAAAGAACACCAACGGCGAAAGCACUCUGCUGGGCCGACAUUGACACUGAGAGACGAAAGGUAGGGGAGCAAAUGGGAUUAGAUACCCCUGUAGUCCCUGUCUCUUAUAA
rnacentral:rRNA from 1 species